UCCCCGUUGCCGAGGCAGUCUAAAUAGAAAAAUCCAACUAUUUAUAGGGGUUGCGCUCGUUAAUGGACUUAACCAAACAUCUCACGACACGAGCUGACGACGGCCAUGCAACACCUGUCACUUGGUCCAAUAAAGUACUCUCUCCUUUCGGAGAAAUUCCAAGGAUGUCAAGCCCUGGUAAGGUUCUUCGUUUAUCGUCGAAUUAAAGAACACGCUCCACCGCUUGUGCGGGUCCCCGUCAAUUCCUUUAUGUUUUAGUCUUGCGACCGUACUCCACAGGCGGGAUACUUAACGCGUUAGCUUCGCUACUGAAGGGGUCGAUACCUCCAACAGCUAGUAUCCAUCGUUUACGGCGUGGACUAC
rnacentral:misc_RNA from 1 species